rnacentral:rRNA from 1 species
CUACGGGAGGCACCAGUGAGGAAUAUUGCACAAUGGGGGGAACCCUGAUGCAGCAACGCCGCGUGGAGGAUGACGCAUUUCGGUGUGUAAACUCCUUUUAUAUGUCAAGAAAAUGACGGUAGCAUAUGAAUAAGCACCGGCUAACUCCGUGCCAGCAGCCGCGGUAAUACGGAGGGGGCAAGCGUUACUCGGAAUCACUGGGCGUAAAGGACGCGUAGGCGGGUUGGAAAGUCAGGUGUGAAAUCCUACAGCUUAACUGUAAAACUGCACCUGAAACUUCUAAUCUAGAGUAUGGGAGGGGUAGAUGGAAUUAGUGUUGUAGGGGUAAAAUCCGUAGAUAUCACUAGGAAUACCUAAAGCGAAGGCGAUCUCCUGGAACAUUACUGACGCUAAGGCGUGAAAGCGUGGGGAGCAAACAGGAUUAGAUACCCCAGUAGUC